CUGUACUAAUUACCAAAGAUGAAAAACAGCCUUGCCCUUAAUGGGUUGCAGCUGUGACUAAUAAAGUAUAAUAAAAGGGGUGGGUUGGCUGGUCAGAGGGAACCUUGAGAAGGAGGAGCUGGAGGAAGAGGACCUCGGGGAGGCAGAGGAGCCCUGAGGAAGGACUGAUCCAGAGAGACACAAAGAGCGUUAUUGCUGCACAAGAUCUGCUGUGAGCCAGUUGUAUCUGCCUUCUGUUUUAAGUGUUUCACUGUCCUACAGAGACCGUAUUCUUCUAGCAAGCAUGUUUAAGGAAUUGAGUGACAACGUUUUACUGCUUUAAAGUUCGUGGUAGCUGCUAAUUAUUUUAGUGCAAACAAAAUGGACUGGUGUGUGUCAUCACAUUAAAAACUAUGGAGGCUAAAUUAUGAGAGUAUUCCAGAUGCAUCUGCAGCUGGACCAGGAAUUCACACCUUGAUCUAACCACAAAAUGCCAAACUCUUGACUUCAACUAGUACAAUAGUAGUUCUCUCCAUGCACAGAGAGAAGGUGAAAGACCAGGACACCUUGAUGCUGAAAACCCUGAUCAUCUACUUUCUGGACUGUGUAAUGGAAGAAGGUAUUAAAGUUCUGUUCCUGUGCAUCUGAAAUGGCAGCAUUACUCAUGACUGACAAAUCCAUAGCACACAGAAGAGCUCUAUAAUGAAGUGUUCCUGGUGUUGGGCUGGGAGCCAGGAGCAUGGGAUGCUUACCCCAGCUAAAGGACCAGUGUCCUACUUGCUGUGCUGAGCCAAGUGAUCUCUUCUCUGCAUCUCUGUACUGUGGCUAAGUCAAAGGAUCUACUAAAUGUGCUGCAAGAUUGUUUCAGUUGAAAACCAACGUGUCCCUGAAUUCAGGCCACAAUGUCCAGUUCCUCAUCAGCUCUGUAGAGCAGCCACUAUGGCACAACAGCAAGGAGCUUUAAAGACCAAGCAGGGAUAGACAGAUGUUGCCAUCUGGCAUUACCAGGUCAUCUUGGAUUAGUCCAUGGCCAGCUGUGGGGUCUCCUCUGAAGAGAUGUAAGCACCAGCUACAUGUGGGGUCAUUUAUGGAGGUUGUACUUGAUGUGAGCAUUGAAGCAAGGUGCACAAAGGAAUUUAGGGUAGCUGCACAAAGCAUCAUGGCAACUCAGAAGAGGUUCAUUGGCAAAAUGCAGGGGGUUCCAGACCCAUUUUCUAUGAUUAGAGGAGGCAUCAUGAGGCUUUAGAGAUUUUGUUGGUCAUUUGUGGAUCUUACCCAAACUGCAUAAUUAGUAACUCUUUAAAAACAAGUCUUUCCAUGACUUGAGCAGAUGCUGAUGGGACCAUCAGGUGAGGAUGGACACUUGCAAACCCCUAAAAUUAAUGGUAGAUGAGCAGAAGCUAAGGAUGAAGAUGUUUCACUAAUCGUAGCAUAUCUCCCAUGUGGAUAAAUCCAUCUUCAGUUUUCCCUUGCUACAGAUCCAGCAGCUUUUUAUGAGCUACAGACUUAUGCAGAAUAACUGACAGAGUAUUGAUAAAAAGAAAUUCCACUGGAAGCCACUGAAGUAAAACUCUGCAUGCAAUUUAUCCUCCUGAGAUCCUGGGGAAUCUGGCAAACACACCUCAGGAUAAUUUGUUUAAUAAAAAACAGGUGCUAUUCUAAGCUCUACAGUUUUCCAGGACAGAUUACCAAAGAUAUAAUUUAGAAGAGAGGACAUAAAUGGAAUACAUGUGCUGGCAAAUGUUGCAUUUUUAGCUUAUAUCUGUCAGAUUUUCCAGGAUUAUGCUUUCCAUACUGCCAGCUGCUCAGUAUUCCAAUCCUUGUGCAGAAAACCAUGUUGGUAAACACUUAAACACAAAUGAAAGUGUUUUCCUGGAUAAAGGCUUGAAUGCUUAAAACCUUGCAAAACUGAAGCCCAGCUUAGCUGCCUCAGCCUGUUUUCCAAGGUGCCAUUGCAGACAUGAUAUCUUUGUUAAAGAAAUACAUUGUUUUCCUACCACUUGGAAUUGCUGCUCGUUAACUAAAAUGAGAGGUCCUAUUUAAAAUAUACCUAUUUAUGAUUGGAGGUAAUUUGACUAUUAAACUUCUGGGCUUUUCAUUAAAUCCUUUCAUUACUAUUUUAUUGAGGAGCUCAGAACAUUGCAUAUGCAGGUAAUGAUUGCAGAUAACAAAUGUUUCUCAUUAUUUAGUCUGAAUAUAUGUUGCAUUGAAUUUAAUCACGUCUGUGCUUAUCUACUAUAGAGAGAUGAAGAGAGAUAGAGCCUUGGGGAUGGUAACAAAAGAAUUUAUUUUACA